CACGUAGGCGGAACAGAAAGUGUCUUGUGAAAACCCCCGGCUUAACCGGGGAAUUGCUUGGCAAACUUCUGUUCUUGAGUCAAGUAGGGGUACAUGGAACUCUUAGUGGAGCGGUGGAAUGCGUAGAUAUUAAGAGGAACGCCAAUGGUGAAGACAGUGUACUGGGCUUGUACUGACGCUGAGGUGCGAAAGCGUGGGGAGCGAACAGGAUUAGAUACCCUGGUAGUCC
rnacentral:rRNA from 1 species